CUUUCAUUUUCUGGUAGAGACAAAAGAGACAUGUUUUAUCCGUGAACCCAAAACUCCGGUGCCGGUCACGGACUGGGAAGGCAGCCUUCCCUUGGUGUUUAAUCAUUUCAGGGACACCUCUCUGAUUAUACACUCACGUUUCAAGGAUGUCAGACCACGCAGGGAUGCCUGACUUGGUCCUUCACCCUUGGUGGCAAGUCUCGCUUUCCUGGGGCAGGGGCAAGUACCCCUCAACCCCUUCUCCUUCACCCUUAGUGGCAAGUCCCGCUUUCCUAGGGGGCAAGAACCCCCCAAUCGCUUAUUUCCACGCCCCAACCUCUUAUCUCUGUGCCCCAAUCCCUUAUUUCCACGCCCCAAUCUCUUAUCUCUGCACCCCAAUCCCUUAUUUCCGUGCCCCAACUCUUUCUCUGCUUUUCUGGAGGGGAAGAAAACCCCACCCCUUCUCCAUGUCUCUACUCUUUUCUCUGGGCUUGCCUCCUUCACUAUGCUUCCACCUUCCAUUCCUCCUUCUUCUCCCUUAGCCUGUAUUCUUAAGAACUUAAAACCUCUUCAAUUCUCACCUGACCUAAAAUCUAAGCGUCUUAUUUUCUUCUGCAAUGCCGCUUGACCCCAAUACAAACUCGACAGUAGUUCCAAAUAGCCAGAAAACGGCACUUUCAAUUUUUCCAUCCUGCAAGAUCUAAAUAAUUCUUGUUGUAAAAUGGGCAAAUGGUCUGAGGUGCCUGACGUCCAGGCAUUCUUUUACACAUCAGUCCCCUCCUAGUCUCUGUGCCCAGUGCAACUCCUCCCAAAUCUUCUUUCUUUCCCUCCCGCCUGUCCCCUCAGUACCAACCCCAAGUGUCGCUGAGUCUUUCUAAUCUUCCUUUUCUACAGACCCAUCUGACCUCUCCCCUCCUCGACAGGCUGAGCUAGGUCCCAAUUCUUCCUCAGCCUCCACUCCUCCACCCUAUAAUCUUUUUAUCGCCUCCCCUCCUCACACCUGUUCCGGCUUACAGUUUCAUUCCGUGACUAGCACUCCCCCACCUGCCCAGCAAUUUAUUCUUAAAAAGGUGGCUGGAGCUAAAGGCAUAGUCAAGGUUAAUGCUCCUUUUUCUUUAUCCCAAAUCAGAUAGUGUUUAGGCUCUUUUUCAUCAAAUAUAAAAAUCCAGCCCAGUUCAUGACUUGUUUGGCAGCAACCCUGAGACACUUUACAGCCCUAGGCCCUAAAAGGUCUAAAGGCCGUCUUAUUCUCAAUAUACAUUUUAUUACCCAAUCUGCUCCCGACAUUAAAUAAAACUCCAAAAACUGGAAUCUGGCCCUCAAACCCCACAACAGGACUUAAUUAACCUCACCUUCAAGGUGUGCAAUAACAGAAAAAAGUUGCAAUUCCUUGCCACCACUGUGAGACAAACCCCAGCCACAUCUCCAGCACACAAGAACUUCCAAACGCCUGAACUGUAGCAGCCAGGCGUUCCUCCAGAACCUUCUCCCCCAGGAACUUGUUACACAUGCCGGAAAUCUGGCCACUGGGCCAAGGAACGCCCGCAGCCCAGGAUUCCUCCUAAGCCACGUCCCAUCUGUGUGGGACCCCACUGAAAAUCGGACUGUUCAACUCACCUGGCAGCCACUCCCAGAGCUCCUGGAACUCUGGCCCAGGGCUCUCUGACUGACUCCUUCUUGGCUUACCGGCUGAAGACUGAUGCUGCCCGAUCGCCUCAGAAGCCCCGUAGACCAUCACGGACGCCGAGCUUUAGAAGGCAGGAAUGUCAGGCCUCUGAGCCCAAGCCAAGCCAUCGCAUCCCCUGUGACUUGCACGGAUACGACCAGAUGGCCGGAAGUAACUGAAGAAUCACAAAAGAAGUGAAUAUGCCCUGCCCCACCUUAACUGAUGACAUUCCACCACAACAGAAGUGGACGCGCAUGAAAGGAAGGAUAUAUGGAAGAAAUAGUGACAAGCUUGGAAGAAAGGCUUCUUCGCAGAAGUUAUUACAGAAUUCAGGAGUCAGAGAAUUAAAGAAUUUCUUAGC
rnacentral:lncRNA from 10 species